rnacentral:rRNA from 1 species
GCUCAGAUUGAACGCUGGCGGCAUGCCUUACACAUGCAAGUCGAACGGCAGCACGGACUUCGGUCUGGUGGCGAGUGGCGAACGGGUGAGUAAUGUAUCGGAACGUACCUUUCAGUGGGGGAUAACGUAGCGAAAGUUACGCUAAUACCGCAUAUUCUGUGAGCAGGAAAGCAGGGGAUCGCAAGACCUUGCGCUGAUUGAGCGGCCGAUAUCAGAUUAGCUAGUUGGUGGGGUAAAGGCCUACCAAGGCUACGAUCUGUAGCGGGUCUGAGAGGAUGAUCCGCCACACUGGAACUGAGACACGGUCCAGACUCCUACGGGAGGCAGCAGUA